UUUAUGGAGAGUUUGAUCCUGGCUCAGGAUGAACGCUGGCGGCGUGCCUAAUACAUGCAAGUCGAGCGAACGGACGAGAAGCUUGCUUUUCUGAUGUUAGCGGCGGACGGGUGAGUAACACGUGGAUAACCUACCUAUAAGACUGGGAUAACUUCGGGAAACCGGAGCUAAUACCGGAUAAUAUUUUGAACCGCAUGGUUCAAAAGUGAAAAACGGUCUUGCUGUCACUUAUAGAUGGAUCCGCGCUGCAUUAGCUAGUUGGUAAGGUAACGGCUUACCAAGGCAACGAUGCAUAGCCGACCUGAGAGGGUGAUCGGCCACACUGGAACUGAGACACGGUCCAGACUCCUACGGGAGGCAGCAGUAGGGAAUCUUCCGCAAUGGGCGAAAGCCUGACGGAGCAACGCCGCGUGAGUGAUGAAGGUCUUCGGAUCGUAAAACUCUGUUAUUAGGGAAGAACAUAUGUGUAAGUAACUGUGCACAUCUUGACGGUACCUAAUCAGAAAGCCACGGCUAACUACGUGCCAGCAGCCGCGGUAAUACGUAGGUGGCAAGCGUUAUCCGGAAUUAUUGGGCGUAAAGCGCGCGUAGGCGGUUUUUUAAGUCUGAUGUGAAAGCCCACGGCUCAACCGUGGAGGGUCAUUGGAAACUGGAAAACUUGAGUGCAGAAGAGGAAAGUGGAAUUCCAUGUGUAGCGGUGAAAUGCGCAGAGAUAUGGAGGAACACCAGUGGCGAAGGCGACUUUCUGGUCUGUAACUGACGCUGAUGUGCGAAAGCGUGGGGAUCAAACAGGAUUAGAUACCCUGGUAGUCCACGCCGUAAACGAUGAGUGCUAAGUGUUAGGGGGUUUCCGCCCCUUAGUGCUGCAGCUAACGCAUUAAGCACUCCGCCUGGGGAGUACGACCGCAAGGUUGAAACUCAAAGGAAUUGACGGGGACCCGCACAAGCGGUGGAGCAUGUGGUUUAAUUCGAAGCAACGCGAAGAACCUUACCAAAUCUUGACAUCCUUUGACAACUCUAGAGAUAGAGCCUUCCCCUUCGGGGGACAAAGUGACAGGUGGUGCAUGGUUGUCGUCAGCUCGUGUCGUGAGAUGUUGGGUUAAGUCCCGCAACGAGCGCAACCCUUAAGCUUAGUUGCCAUCAUUAAGUUGGGCACUCUAAGUUGACUGCCGGUGACAAACCGGAGGAAGGUGGGGAUGACGUCAAAUCAUCAUGCCCCUUAUGAUUUGGGCUACACACGUGCUACAAUGGACAAUACAAAGGGCAGCGAAACCGCGAGGUCAAGCAAAUCCCAUAAAGUUGUUCUCAGUUCGGAUUGUAGUCUGCAACUCGACUACAUGAAGCUGGAAUCGCUAGUAAUCGUAGAUCAGCAUGCUACGGUGAAUACGUUCCCGGGUCUUGUACACACCGCCCGUCACACCACGAGAGUUUGUAACACCCGAAGCCGGUGGAGUAACCUUUUAGGAGCUAGCCGUCGAAGGUGGGACAAAUGAUUGGGGUGAAGUCGUAACAAGGUAGCCGUAUCGGAAGGUGCGGCUGGAUCACCUCCUUU
rnacentral:rRNA from 1 species